UACAGUGCCACCUGAUUCAGGCUAGUCAGGAACACAUAAGAUGGUCUGAUAAACAGGGCCUUUUGCAUAGAGUUCUGAACAAAUCCGAUGAGAGAUAGGAAGAGUACAC